rnacentral:rRNA from 1 species
GACGAACGCUGGCGGCGUGCCUAAUACAUGCAAGUCGAACGGUCUUUUCUAUGGAAGCUUGCUUCCACUGAGAAGAUAGUGGCGGACGGGUGAGUAACACGUGGGUAACCUGCCUUGUACAGGGGGAUAACAGUUAGAAAUGACUGCUAAUACCGCAUAAGCCUUUAGUGCCGCAUGGCACAGAAGGAAAAGAUUUAUCGGUACAAGAUGGACCCGCGUCUGAUUAGCUAGUUGGUGAGGUAAUGGCCCACCAAGGCGACG